UUCUGACCACUCUCCCCCCGCCCGGUGCGCGUCCCAAAGAGGAUCCGGUGUUAUCUGCUUGGGCGGAUUCCAGUUCAUCUCAAAACCGCGGCUACUGCCAGCAGUAGUAGUGAGUAGCCGCCAGCCUCUGAUUUCCCCUUCAACGAACGCACUGUGAGCUCUUCCUCGGUACCAGGAGCGGUCUGGACUCCGACCACCGCGGCAGACAGGCCCUGACCCCGGGAGCAGGCCAGGUGGAGGCGGACGCCACAGAGGACGCAUGUUGCUUGGUAGGAAUGGGGAUGAACCGUGAGAUGCCGACGUCUCCCUCAGCUCGAAGGUUUCAUGUGCACAUGCUGCACUGUCCCACGUGGAUUAAGAGGACACUGCCCCCUCGCCCCUGCCUCCCAGCCUCUGACUGAAAGACUCUUGCUCCGUCUAGAG
rnacentral:lncRNA from 12 species